UGACUAUGUGUCAUUUCUGACUCAAUGGUGAUAGUGGGAAUGUCACAGACUUUAUUAAGGGAGACUCAAACCCUGUUCUGCCCACCAGACACAGAAAAAUGUAACCUGCAAAUGCAGUCCAUGCCUAUGUGUAAGGUGCUGCAAAUCACCACCUCGCUCUGAGUGUCAGGCAGGUACAGAAUUGUCUUGUCCUCAUAACCUGGGUGAUUACUGCAAGAAUUUUUUAAAUCUGAUUGUACUCAAGAAAUUGAAAAACUUAAUUUCUGGUUUUCAAAGAAUACAACAGAAGAGGUGAUGCAGAAGGAUUUGCCAUCUCUACGGUUUUUCUCUUUAAUCACUUUCAGCCCUCUGAUUACUUCUCUACUGGACCACGUCAGAAGAUUCCCAGAGGCCUUUAGGAGGGUUUGGCCUUCUAUACAAAGGCAGUUUCAUGUGAUAUUACAAUAAAAACAAGUCGAGGAAUGGCUGGCAAGUUGUUUUUCCAGACUUCCAGGUGAAAAUAAAAUUAGAAAAUUCCUUAAUUGUAAAAUAUUUUUGGGAUAUGUAUUUACCUGAUGAAAGCUGGAGUCUGGCAGCUCUGAAAAGAGAAAUAAUUGCUAGAGAAAGUGUAAUAUAUUUAAAAGAAUUCCAACCAAUCCCACCAACAGAACAACAGAAAA